AUUUGCAAGCCAUACCACCCUAAACGUGUCUGAUCUCGUCUGAUCUUAGAAGCUAAGCAGGGUUGUAUCUGAUUAGUAAUUGAUUGGGAGACUGCCUGGAAAUACUGGGUGCUGUAGGCU
rnacentral:rRNA from 1 species